UUAAGCCAUGCGAGUCGAACGAGUUUAGGCUCGUGGCGUACGGCCCAGUAACACGUGGAUAACCUACCCUUAGGACCGGGAUAACCUUGGGAAACUGAGGAUAAUACUGGAUAGGCAAUUAUUUCUGCAAUGGUUUUUUGUUUAAAUGUUUUUUCGCCUAAGGAUGGGUCUGCGGUCGAUUAGGUAGUUGGUUAGGUAAAGGCUUACCAAGCCGUUGAUCGGUACGGGUUGUGAGAGCAAGAGCCCGGAGAUGGAACCUGAGACAAGGUUCCAGGCCCUACGGGGUGCAGCAGGCGCGAAACCUCCGCAAUGUGAGAAAUCGCGACGGGGGGAUCCCAAGUGCCAUUCUUAACGGGAUGGCUUUUCAUUAGUGUAAAGAGCUUUUGGAAUAAGGGCUGGGCAAGACCGGUGCCAGCCGCCGCGGUAA
rnacentral:rRNA from 1 species